AACGAACGCUGGCGGCGUGCCUAAUACAUGCAAGUCGUGCGUGAUCCGGUAGCAAUACCGGUGAAAGCGGCGAACGGGUGAGUAACACGUAAACAAUCUGCCUGUAAAUUUGGGAUAACCUUGCCAACGCGGGGCUAAUACCGGAUGUGAUGAUGUUGUCGCAUGACAAUAUUAUUAAAGGCGCUGUAAGGCGCUGUUUACAGAUGAGUUUGCGUCCCAUUAGCUUGUUGGCGGGGUAACGGCCCACCAAGGCUAUGAUGGGUAGCCGGCCUGAGAGGGUGAACGGCCACAUUGGGACUGAGAUACGGCCCAGACUCCUACGGGAGGCAGCAGUAGGGAAUUUUGCGCAAUGGGCGAAAGCCUGACGCAGCAACGCCGCGUGAGUGAUGACGGCCUUCGGGUUGUAAAGCUCUGUUGUACGGGAAGAAAAGACUCAAUAGGAAAUGAUUGAGUUAUGACGGUACCGUGCGAGGAAGCUCCGGCUAACUACGUGCCAGCAGCCGCGGUAAUACGUAGAGAGCGAGCGUUGUUCGGAAUUACUGGGCGUAAAGGGAGCGUAGGCGGGUCUGUAAGUUAGGUGUUUAAUUUCGGGGCUUAACCCCGGGUCUGCACUUAAUACUGCAAAUCUUGAGUGGUGGAGAGGAUGAUGGAUUCCCAGGUAGUCCCGACCGUAAACGAUGAACACUAGUUGCCGGUGGAGUCAAUCCCUUCGGUGACGCAGCUAACGCAUUAAGUGUUCCGCCUGGGGAGUACGCCCGCAAGGGUGAAACUCAAAGGAAUUGACGGGGGCCCGCACAAGCGGUGGAGCAUGUGCUUUAAUUCGAUGCAACGCGAAGAACCUUACCCAGGCUUGACAUGGGGUCGAAAGCCGGUAGAAAUAUCGGACCUUCCGCAAGGAACGGCCUACACAGGUGCUGCAUGGUUGUCGUCAGCUCGUGUCGUGAGAUGUUGGGUUAAGUCCCGCAACGAGCGCAACCCUCGCCCUUAGUUGCCAUCAGGUAAUGCUGGGAACUCUAAGGGGACUGCCUAGUUUAACUAGGAGGAAGGUGGGGAUGACGUCAAAUCCUCAUGGCCCUUACGCCUGGGGCUAGACACGUGCUACAAUGGUCGGUACAGCGAGCAGCAAGCUGGUGACAGCAAGCUAAUCUCUUAAAACCGAUCUCAGUUCGGAUAGGAGUCUGCAAUUCGACUCCUUGAAGCUGGAAUCGCUAGUAAUCGCGGAUCAGCAUGCCGCGGUGAAUACGUUCCCGGGCCUUGUACACACCGCCCGUCAAGCCAUGAAAGAUGGCAGUACCCGAAGUCUCUCCCCUAACCGCAAGGAAGGGUGAGCCGAAGGUAAGGCUGUUGAUUGGGGCU
rnacentral:rRNA from 1 species